UUCCAUUUUAUUGCACUUAUGGACAACCAGUUAACUCGGUUAUGGAGGCGAUUCUGCAAAACAUUGAGUAAACUAUGGCACCUUCUUUAUCAUGUCUGCUGAUACCUCAUCAAAACUUUCACAUGACAAUCUCAAACUACCCAAAUCUGAGAUUUUGGAAAAGAAUAGUCUUUUACUGUCAAUUUACUGGCUUGAUGAAGAAGUUUCCAUUGUUUACUAACAAGUGUUUGAGAAUAUUGAUACAUUAAGAAUAUGAAGCAAGUGGUGAAAAUUGUUAUGAAAUGCUCGGGCGAAUUGCUAUCACAAGUUGAAGAUCCCAAACGCGCCAUCAUUAUAUGUGAUGAUAAUGCGGAUUUCUAUGAUCAAGUGCGCGUUGUCACUCGAACAAGACUUAAAGCAGGCAUCGUUAUUUAUCGUCAAUGCCCUUUAGCUAAGGUUCAUCCUGUAAUUCGUGCAAAUUUCAUUGAAUGAUCGUCUUAUAAUCCAUCUAACCUUUUCUCAGUUUAAGACCAUCCAAUUAGGAACGAAAGAAAAUGGAACUUGAACCAUCUAAAUGAACAACAAUGAAAUUAUGGGACGGGAUAAAGUUACUAAUCUUUAGUAUAAUAAGAUUCGUUUGGAUUAUUAGCUUUAUUCUGGUUUUA